rnacentral:tRNA from 1 species
GGUUGUAGCCCAAUGGUAGAGCACUUGCUUAGCAUGUAUGAGGCACUGGGUUUGAUUCUCAGCACCA